UACAGAGGGGGCAAGCGUUGUUCGGAAUUACUGGGCGUAAAGGGCGCGUAGGCGGCCUUCUAAGUCGAACGUGAAAUCCCCGGGCUCAACCCGGGAACUGCGUCCGAUACUGAAAGGCUUGAAUCCGGGAGAGGGAUGCGGAAUUCCAGGUGUAGCGGUGAAAUGCGUAGAUAUCUGGAGGAACACCGGUGGCGAAGGCGGCAUCCUGGACCGGCAUUGACGCUGAGGCGCGAAAGCCAGGGGAGCAAACGGG
rnacentral:rRNA from 1 species